rnacentral:hammerhead_ribozyme from 1 species
AUCCAACUAACGAGUCCCGAAAUGGACGAAACGCGCAUCCUGGAU